rnacentral:rRNA from 1 species
AUUGAACGCUGGCGGCAUGCUUUACACAUGCAAGUCGAGCGGCUGAGCGGAGUUUGCCCUUGCGUCCAGCGGCGGACGGGUGAGUAAUGCCUAGGAACCUGCCUGGUAGUGGGGGAUAACGUCCGGAAACGCGCGUUAAUACCGCAUACGUCCUGAGGGUGAAAGUGGGGGACCUUCGGACCUCACGCUAUCAGAUGAGCCUAGGUCGGAUUAGCUAGUUGGUGGGGUAAAGGCCUACCAAGGCGACGAUCCGUAGCUGGUCUGAGAGGAUGAUCAGUCACACUGGAACUGAGACACGGUCCAGACUCCUACGGGAGGCAGCAGUGGGGAAUAUUGGACAAUGGGCGAAAGCCUGAUCCAGCCAUGCCGCGUGUGUGAAGAAGGUCUUCGGAUUGUAAAGCGCUUUUAGUUGGGAGGAAGGCCAGUAAGCUAAUACCUUGGUGUGAUGACGGUACCAAAAGAAUAAGCACCGGCUAACUACGUG